rnacentral:rRNA from 1 species
AUUGAACGCUGGCGGCAUUGCUUUACACAUGCAAGUCGGACGGCAGCACAGAGAAAGCUUGCUUUCUUGGGUGGCGAGUGGCGAACGGGUGAGUAACAUAUCGGAACGUACCGGGCAGUGGGGGAUAACUAAUCGAAAGAUUAGCUAAUACCGCAUAUUUUCUGAGGAAGAAAGCAGGGGACCAUUUGGCCUUGCGCUGUUUGAGCGGCCGAUAUCUGAUUAGCUAGUUGGUGGGGUAAAGGCCUACCAAGGCGACGAUCAGUAGCGGGUCUGAGAGGAUGAUCCGCCACACUGGGACUGAGACACGGCCCAGACUCCUACGGGAGGCAGCAGUGGGGAAUUUUGGACAAUGGGCGCAAGCCUGAUCCAGCCAUGCCGCGUGUCUGAAGAAGGCCUUCGGGUUGUAAAGGACUUUUGUCAGGGAAGAAAAGGGCGGGGUUAAU